rnacentral:tRNA from 1 species
GGCGAGAUGGGCGAGCGAUGUAAGGCGCUGGUUUAAGGCACCAGUCUCUUCGGAGGCGUGGGUUCUAAUCCCGCUCUCGACA